AGAACGAACGCUGGCGGCAGGCCUAACACAUGCAAGUCGAGCGCUCCAGCAAUGGAGAGCGGCAGACGGGUGAGUAACACGUGGGAACCUUCCCUAUGGUUCGGAAUAGCUCAGGGAAACUUGAGGUAAUACCGAAUAAGCCCUUCGGGGGAAAGAUUUAUCGCCAUUGGAUGGGCCCGCGUAGGAUUAGCUAGUUGGUGAGGUAACGGCUCACCAAGGCGACGAUCCUUAGCUGGUCUGAGAGGAUGAUCAGCCACACUGGGACUGAGACACGGCCCAGACUCCUACGGGAGGCAGCAGUGGGAAUAUUGGACAAUGGGCGCAAGCCUGAUCCAGCCAUGCCGCGUGAGUGACGAAGGUCUUCGGAUUGUAAAGCUCUUUUGGCGGGACGAUAAUGACGGUACCGCAGAAUAAGCCCGGCUAACUUCGUGCCAGCAGCCGC
rnacentral:rRNA from 1 species